rnacentral:rRNA from 1 species
GAAGUGUUAUAGCCUCUGGUAGAUGUGAUGAUCGGGAUUGAGGAUUGCAACGAAUACCCCUCGGGCUACUCGUCUGAUCUCUGAUCGUCGCUUUGGUGCCUUAAGCGUGCUUAUGGUGUUGAAGUAGGUGGUCAAAAGGUUAGAACGGGUUAAAUUCGUUAAGGAUGUUGACGAAAUGACUUUAAACGA